rnacentral:misc_RNA from 1 species
AACCUUCGACAAUGGAUCUCUUGGUUCUGGCAUCGAUGAAGAACGCAGCGAAAUGCGAUAAGUAAUGUGAAUUGCAGAAUUCAGUGAAUCAUCGAAUCUUUGAACGCACAUUGCGCCCGCCAGUAUUCUGGCGGGCAUGCCUGUCCGAGCGUCAUUUCAACCCUCGAACCCCUCCGGGGGUACGGCGUUGGGGAUCGGCCCUUUACGGGGCCGGCCCCGAAAUACAGUGGCGGUCUCGCCGCAGCCUCUCCUGCGCAGUAGUUUGCACACUCGCAUCGGGAGCGCGGCGCGUCCACGUCCGUAAAACACCCAACUUUCUGAAAUGUUGACCUCGGAUCAGGUAGGAAUACCCGCUGAACUUAAGCAUAUCAAUAGGCGGAGGCU